rnacentral:tRNA from 1 species
GUCUCAGUACCUCAGUUGGAUAGAGGGUUCGCCUCCUAAGCGAAACGCCGAGGGUUCAACUCCCUCCUGGGACGCCA